AGUUUAACUGGGGCGGUUGCCUCCCAAAAUGUAACGGAGGCGCCCAAAGGUUCCCUCAGCCUGGUUGGCAAUCAGGUGUUGAGUGUAAGUGCACAAGGGAGCUUGACUGCGAGAGUGACAGCUCGAGCAGGGACGAAAGUCGGGACUAGUGAUCCGGCGGCACGUUGUGGAACGGCCGUCGCUCAACGGAUAAAAGGUACCUCGGGGAUAACAGGCUGAUCUUGCCCAAGAGUCCAUAUCGACGGCAUGGUUUGGCACCUCGAUGUCGGCUCGUCGCAUCCUGGGGCUGGAGUAGGUCCCAAGGGUUGGGCUGUUCGCCCAUUAAAGCGGCACGCGAGCUGGGUUUAGAACGUCGUGAGACAGUUCGGUCCCUAUCCGCUGCGCGCGUAGGAAAUUUGAGAGGAUCUGACCCUAUUAC
rnacentral:rRNA from 1 species